rnacentral:pre_miRNA from 1 species
GAAGGCAAGGAGAUGAGGUGGUGAUGAGGAUUUUGCUGCAAGAAUAUUCAAAGUAGUGGACAAUAGUUCAAGUCUAACAACCUCAGCUUUGCAGUUGCCGAUUUUCUGUCGACAGGAUGAAUUUCUAGAUCUCAUGAGGCUGAGAUUUUUAGCCUUUCUAGCUUGCCAAAUAGCUACAUCCUCUAGCGAACUAUCCUCAUCAAGACACAGAGUGUGUAAGUUAAUCCGAAAACUGAAACGGCGAAGUCCAAAUAGUGAGAUUCGAGAGCACAGGUCAAUAUAGAUAAAGCAUAUCGCCCUAUGAAUUUUGUGCAUAUCCUUGAGGAGUUGUGCCAAACUGGUUGGGUGGCUUGAAACCAUAAAGAUCAGUGAGCUCAACCUAUUCUUCCAUACCCAACCUAAAUAACUCGAACCCUUGCCAUACCUAAGAGAGGGUUGUAAGACGUCAUAAACAACACCAAGCCAUAACAAUAACUUUUACCUCUUUGUUCUAAUUGAUCAUAACUUAAUUGCAAUAUCUUAUUUAUUACCUCGCCGAGUUAUUCGUUUUUAGAUAUUUCAAUUUGUUUCACUAAGUCCUUACUGUUUUGAGACAUCUCAAUUUGUUUCACUAAGUCCUUACAUUCAAAUAAACCAGCGUCUUUUAUUUAUCUGAAUAGAGGAUGCUUUGAAACAAAUCAAGAUUUUACAAAUGAAGACUCAGUGACGUGAUGAAUAAAACUUUGCAAUUGAUUUAUCAUUUAAAAGGCGAGUAGGUGAAGUCAUUCUUACAAUUUUGUGCUCAUGGAACCCUCUUUUGAAAAUUUGGUGAAGAACGACAUGAAUUUGGAGUCUUUUCAAGAAGAUAGCAACAUGGAAAAUGCUAGAAAUAGGUCGGACCCACUAAUUUGUACUCUUCAAGGCCCCUUAGUUAGACCCCUUUGUUAGACAAUGGAGAUGCUGAUGGUUUUAAGCUACGCAAUAUGAGACGAAGAUAAUAAGUUGAUGGCAUAGUUGCCUAAGGACAUGCUCAAAAUUUUUAGGGCCACCUUACCAAAAAAAGAAAAAAAAUUUAGGGCCAUAUGCUUUCCCUAUAUUGAUAUGAAGGGGUUACCCAAAUGAUUAGAUUAUUCCUGAAUUACACAUCCAUUACUGUUCAUGAAAAAUGAAUCUCUAAGGUUAAUAUUUUUUGCUCUAAAAGGAAACUCAUGCUCUUAAAUCUUACUAAGAUACCUCUCGCUCUAUUGCCUUCGCCAUUUCAAUUCUUGUAUAACUGGCACACUUUGUGUCUUGAUGAUCGUUUGUUAGAGAUGUAUCCAUUCUUGGCAAGCUAAAAAGACUACAAAUUCUCCCAAAAUGAGUUCCAAAAUUCAUCGAUCGCCAAAACAUUGGGCAACUUGGCAGAGUGGAGGUUGUUUGGCUUGAGCUGAUGUUCACUGCUUUAGUUGAUGGAACCGGGUGUUCUUCAAAGAUUAAGCAAAUUGGAGUUGCUGCAAAUGAUUGAUACCUUUGGUCAGUCUUGGGUUAAUAAAGUAAAAUCCAGGAUACUCUCUCUAUGUUGAUCAG